GCAGACACAUUCCAGCCAAUCAGCAGCAGACCCUCCCUCCCAGACCCUCCCACCUCCUGGACAGCAUCCAUUUUGAAGCUGCAUUCUUAGUGAGCUGUCCAGGAGGUGGGAGGGUCUGGGAGGGAGGGUCUGCUGCUGAUUGGUUGGAAUGUGUCUG
rnacentral:miRNA from 1 species